UUAGGUUUUUGCUUCUUUCAAAGGUUUGUUUUUCCUCAUACCUUAGGGUUUUCAUAAAUAGACUAGGGUUUUCUCCAUACUUCCUAGGGUUUUAUUCUAAGGGUUUUUAUAACAACAGACUUGUAGUUUGUGUUUAAAAAUCAUUUCCGCACCCUCUUCUAAACACCUUCUUCUAAACCCUAAACCCUAAAACCUUAAGCUUGGAACUAGCCAAGCCUAAACUCUCUAGCCCCCUGUUGUUACCUUCCCCCCUGUUUGGUAUCAGAGCCAAGACUUUCUUGGUACACUAAGACUAAUUAGCUUUAUCACUUAGUUAUUUUAAUAAACUUUUACAAUCAAUUCAACAGCCUCGUUUUCUUUUAAACAAGACAGAGAAAAGAAACGAAGACAAAUCUUCCUUUAAUACAACCACAUUAUUGAUAAUAGUGAAUACAACCACAUUAUUGAUAAUAGUAAAUCUUUUUUAGAUUUAUCCUCAAUGCAACCACAUUAUUGAUUUUAUGCCAAAAAGAAAGGCUCCAGAUAACAAUAUAGAUCAACUUUUCCGUAACAUCACAGACCAACCUUUUUCCCUAACAACUUUCAUUUUAACCUUACUUCUCUUAGGAUUUCCAGAAGACAUCAUAUAUAAUAUUUUAGAUAUAUUAAUAAUAUAUUGGGAAACUUUUGCCCCAUACCUUAUUACUUGGCCUUUUCGAUAUAUUGGAAGAAAAUAAUAAUUUUAUUCUAAGACUCUCAAAACUGGAUAAAGACAUAGCAUUAUUUUUACUAAACGAAUCAAUCUUUAGAUUCCUUUUAGUAUGCUUGUAUUAUCUCAUUGAACCAAUUCUAGACUUUCUUUACACUCCCUACCUUUUACAAACUUUUAUUAUAAAUUCUUUAUCUUUAGGAGUUCCACUCCAUAUUUUAAUUAGCAUUAUACACCUUAUAUAUCAGCUUUGGGAAAUAGACCCUUUUCUUGUAUUUCAAAUCUUUAGACAAUAAUUAACACACUGGCUAAUCAAGACAAAGACGAAAUAUUGCCAGACUACGAGGAAUACGAAGCCGAUAAUAACGACAACGACAACGAAAAUUUAAGACAAUCAGAAGACAAUAACAAUAGUGACGAAGACAGUUCAGACUAUAGUGAAAAUACUACAAGCCCAAGACAAUUUAACUGGCGAUACAAUAUCGUUCAUAUUGGAAGAAGAAGAUUUUUGGAAAUUACAGUCGAAGACGCUUUUGACAUAGACGCCUUCACCUUUAAUACUAUGGGCCGUUUAAGGAAAUAUCACAAGUUAGUUAGGACUAUACGUGCUAACUAACUUGUUAGCACUAUACUGCAUGGGGUAAAUGAAAAUUAGUGAAGUUUCACCAGCAGUAAUCGGCCCGUGAUUGCCUGGCCUCUAAACACGGCCUGGCCUUGAUAUAGUGCUAACAAGUCCCCAUAGGAGCGGGUUUAAAGAUCCCCAUAGGAGCGGGGAUUAGCACAAGUUUUAUCAAGGACUUCAACGGCCGCAGUAUUCUCCUCCCAAACCACCUCUUCCUUCGGCUAUAAAGGAAGAACCCCCUCCUCCUCUCCAAGCAGGAUAAGGAGAUAGCGCAGAUAGAAAUCAAGCAAGCUCUCUCCAAGCAUUAGAGAAAAUCCUACUUAGUCCCUGCCUUAUGUAAAAAUUGCGCUGAAGCUAAAAGGAAGAUCAUUUCGACGACAAGUGAAGAAUGAAGCUAGCCUCUUGUUAAAUAUAGCAUCCCAGCUCCACAAAUAAAUCCCCAAUAGCUUUUAUUUUCCUUCCCUUCCUGUAAAAAUUUAUCUUUUUCUCAACUGCAUUCUGGCGUGAAGAGUCUGUACAAACAAGUCCUUUCUUUCCCCCCGGGAAGUCCCGGAAGGGAAACCUUCUAGCGUUGUGAUGUAAGUUUUAUUUCUUGUUUAAUAUUAUAUUUCUCGAACUCUUCUAUCCAUGGCAUUUUCUUUGCCCCAUGAUUCCCUUUCCUUGGACUCUUAAUGAAAAUUUAUGGGUUCUCUCUGGAUAAUUAUUUCAGCUUAAGCAAGUGUAAAGCAUAUAUGCUUGGCAGAUUUGAUAAGAGAAAAAAUGCUCUGUAAUUUUCGCCAUUGAUAGCCAGAGGUGCUUUGCGGCGUUAGAGCGAGGUUCUCUGAAAACUGUACGCCAAGAGGGUCUUGUGCACCAACACUGUGUCUUAAGUGGUGUUAUCCACAUUAGAAAAUUNNNNNNNNNNNNNNNNNNNNNNNNNAUCUUUUAAAGGUCUCUUUUCACCUUUUUUUUUCUGUUUUUUUUUUUUUUUAACAGUGUCCGAAAACGCGGACUACAUAAAGAGGCAUAAUUGAAAAACAGAUGCAGAACUGAAAGAAAUAUAUACAAAUAUAUACAAAACAUCAGAACCAGGUGGCUAAGCAUUUUCCCUUAAAUUGUCACAUUUGGGAGAAGAUGCUUCUAGUAUCAUAGGAUCUUCUUGUUUUUCUUCAGUGUUUCCUAUACUAGGGUAUGGUAAUGGUUCUGAAGAGGAUUCAAUUUGCCGGAAAGGUUUGGCAAUUGGCUGUGGAUAUUUUUUGAGGGUAGGCUUUUGUGGUGCUGAGGAUAAAAAAUGUUUUACUGAAAUAGAGGGAUGGACUACUGGGAUUAGUGGGUUAUGAAAUGGAGUAUUUAUGUCGGUCAUAGGAGGAAAGACCAAACUCGGUGUAGUUGUCAUUAUAGGAGGAUACUUUGAAGGAGGAUAAGAGGAAGAUUGAGGUAGAGAUACAAUACCUUGUUGUGAGGGGUUCUUGAGGUCUUUGAUCUGUUGUUCCAGAAUAGCAAUUCUUUGGAUGUUUUUCUGAUCCUUUAUUCUCAAGUCAUCGCAAAUAGUGUUCAGUUUUUGAAGCUGUGUUGCCAUUGUUGAGCAGUUUUCACAGAAACUACUUUUCUCAGGAUUGUGGGUGGAUGUAGAGGCAUGAAUAUGUGGAGAAGAGCGAAUAUUGGGGGAGAUAAAAAAGUUUGGACCAAAGUAGGUACGAGCAGUGUCUAAGGGUUCAGAUAAAAAGAUAACUCUUAUAGAGAGGAAGAGGAAAAGAAAGCUUAUUGUUUUCCUUUUUCCCUAAUCCCAAUCUGGAUAGUUCCAAUUUGGAUUUAUAAUAAAAGGGAAAUAUGGCAUGAGGUUGUAACAUAGGUGGUAACAUAAAAUUCUAGUAAGUUUAUAUUGAUAGUCUAAGCUAUAGUCUUGAAGGUUAAGUUUGUCCAGAAGAUGUUGUUGGCAAAUAUCUUCCCAAUAAUCAUUUUCUGUAAUUCCUUCAAGUGGGUAGCCAAAUAGUACUCGAAUGUCUCUAAUAAUACUGUCUUGAUCUAGUAAGUCAUAAAAUUGAAGAUUUAGCUCGUCUCGAAAAUAUUGUUGGUAAUAAUUUUCCCAAUCUUGUUCAGGGAGGUGACAUAUGCCAGAAAACCAAAGUUGUAAAUCAAACUUGUCUUGGAGUCUAUCUAACCAUAAUUGUUUUUGCUGGGAGUUUUCUAGCCUUUUGUAAAGAGUCUGUCUGUUGUAUUCUUUGCAUGCUGCUGCUAAGGCUUUUUCUUCACCUAAAUGCUUAAAGCUAGAAAGGAUAAUGUGAAAAGGCAUAACAGCAAAUGGGUCUUCAAAUAACCUGUGUAUGUCUUGGAUUAUAUCAUCAAGAGUUUCUUCAGAAGGUUUAAGGAAAACAUCAGUGCAAAAAGGGCAAUAAUGCGGAUCCAUGUCUUUGUCUUUGUUUGAACCUGAAAUGUCUGGAUCAAGAUACAUUAUAUUAAUAUUAUUAUGUCUUUUUUUCUUUUUUCAUGGAUCCAUUAAGUCUACUACACCUAAAGGGUUCAUUAAGAAAUGUGAUUCGGCAGUGGGUGUUAACAGACCUGUAAAUCCGAUACAAACUUGUAGGUUUCUAAAGUUUUGUCCUUCAUAUAAGUCUAUUCCUCUAACUUGUAUACCUAUCUUAAUUUGAUUAGCAAAGUGUCACGCCCCGAGACCGCUACCAAUUUGGUCCGGCCCGGGCGCGUCGAACAGACGCCGAACGGACAGAACCUCCCCUGUCCGUCCAAGGCUAACCAACAGAUCAUGUAUAAGAAUUUUACCCAGGAAUCAAUUCAUAAAUACACGAUCAAGAAGCACCACCAGUGCAACAACUAAGAGCAAGAUACUAGUAUAAAAAUAUAUACAAGUACAUAAAGAGAGAAGAUGCUAUCUAUUACAUUCAUUCAACCUUUAUAAUACAAUUUGAUUAUACAUUAAGCUUCUAAACAUAAGAUAAAGCUUACAUCUUCCAAAAUAUAAACAUUAGCUUACAUUCAUCCCAAAAUAGCUCACAACCUAUACAUCAUCUACUCUCAAUGUAUAUAAGGUGACUCUAAUGCAGAAAUAGGAAAGUAGACUAAUGCAACUAGGGCGCUAAGCCCUUACCGCGAUCCUCGCCGUGUGAACUCGCGCUCGGCCCUGUAGUAAAAUGGGGGUGAGAACUAACUUCCUUAGUUCCCAGUGGGUUCGGCCGCCGACUCCGCCGAUCUCCCCACUAGGUCCAAGUUGGGCACAAGUAGAUAAUCGAUAGAUAGAUAGAUAAGGAAAGCGGCAAAUGACAGAAGUAAAGGUACUCUACUAUGCCCAAUCAUAAAUAUAUGAAUGCAUGUACAAUGAAAUAGGUAAGCAANNNNNNNNNNNNNNNNNNNNNNNNNNNNNNNNNNNNNNNNNNNNNNNNNNNNNNNNNNNNNNNNNNNNNNNNNNNNNNNNNNNNNNNNNNNNNNNNNNNNNNNNNNNNNNNNNNNNNNNNNNNNNNNNNNNNNNNNNNNNNNNNNNNNNNNNNNNNNNNNNNNNNNNNNNNNNNNNNNNNNNNNNNNNNNNNNNNNNNNNNNNNNNNNNNNNNNNNNNNNNNNNNNNNNNNNNNNNNNNNNNNNNNNNNNNNNNNNNNNNNNNNNNNNNNNNNNNNNNNNNNNNNNNNNNNNNNNNNNNNNNNNNNNNNNNNNNNNNNNNNNNNNNNNNNNNNNNNNNNNNNNNNNNNNNNNNNNNNNNNNNNNNNNNNNNNNNNNNNNNNNNNNNNNNNNNNNNNNNNNNNNNNNNNNNNNNNNNNNNNNNNNNNNNNNNNNNNNNNNNNNNNNNNNNNNNNNNNNNNNNNNNNNNNNNNNNNNNNNNNNNNNNNNNNNNNNNNNNNNNNNNNNNNNNNNNNNNNNNNNNNNNNNNNNNNNNNNNNNNNNNNNNNNNNNNNNNNNNNNNNNNNNNNNNNNNNNNNNNNNNNNNNNNNNNNNNNNNNNNNNNNNNNNNNNNNNNNNNNNNNNNNNNNNNNNNNNNNNNNNNNNNNNNNNNNNNNNNNNNNNNNNNNNNNNNNNNNNNNNNNNNNNNNNNNNNNNNNNNNNNNNNNNNNNNNNNNNNNNNNNNNNNNNNNNNNNNNNNNNNNNNNNNNNNNNNNNNNNNNNNNNNNNNNNNNNNNNNNNNNNNNNNNNNNNNNNNNNNNNNNNNNNNNNNNNNNNNNNNNNNNNNNNNNNNNNNNNNNNNNNNNNNNNNNNNNNNNNNNNNNNNNNNNNNNNNNNNNNNNNNNNNNNNNNNNNNNNNNNNNNNNNNNNNNNNNNNNNNNNNNNNNNNNNNNNNNNNNNNNNNNNNNNNNNNNNNNNNNNNNNNNNNNNNNNNNNNNNNNNNNNNNNNNNNNNNNNNNNNNNNNNNNNNNNNNNNNNNNNNNNNNNNNNNNNNNNNNNNNNNNNNNNNNNNNNNNNNNNNNNNNNNNNNNNNNNNNNNNNNNNNNNNNNNNNNNNNNNNNNNNNNNNNNNNNNNNNNNNNNNNNNNNNNNNNNNNNNNNNNNNNNNNNNNNNNNNNNNNNNNNNNNNNNNNNNAAUUUUCGAUGAUGCAAUUUUCCUAAAACUCGGACUUAUGAUGAAAUUUAAUUUUCUAAUGUGGAUAACACCACUUAAGACACAGUGUUGGUGCACAAGACCCUCUUGGCGUACAGUUUUCAGAGAACCUCGCUCUAACGCCGCAAAGCACCUCUGGCUAUCAAUGGCGAAAAUUACAGAGCAUUUUUUUUCUCUUAUCAAAUCUGCCAAGCAUAUAUGCUUUACACUUGCUUAAGCUGAAAUAAUUAUCCAGAGAGAACCCAUAAAUUUUCAUUAAGAGUCCAAGGAAAGGGAAUCAUGGGGCAAAGAAAAUGCCAUGGAUAGAAGAGUUCGAGAAAUAUAAUAUUAACAAGAGAUAAAACUUACAUCACAACGCUAGAAGGUUUCCCUUCCGGGACUUCCCGGGGGGAAAGAAAGGACUUGUUUGUACAGACUCUUCACGCCAGAAUGCAGUUGAGAAAAAGAUAAAUAUUUACAGGAAGAAAAGGAAAGUAAAGGCCAUUAGGGAAUUAUUUGUGGAGCUAGGAUGAUAUAUCUAACAAGAGGCUUGCUUCAUUCUUCACUUGUCGGCGAAAUGAUCUUCCUUUUAGCUUCAGCGCAAUUUUUACAUAAGGCAGGGACUAAGUAGGAUUUUCUCUAAUGCUUGGAGAGAGCCUGCUCGAUAUCAUGCUUGGAGAGGAGGAGGGGGUUCUUCCUUUAUAGCCGAAGGAGGCGCAGAAGUGGUGGAGGAAAACCAUGGGAGCCCCUGGUUUUCAAUAAAACCGUGGGUACUCAGGGAACGGUUUAAGGACGUCAUGAUGAUGCGGGGCCCGAGGUUUUUCAAAAAAAACUAUGGGCGGAAGUUUUCUGAGGAUGGAAUGAAGUGGCGGGGCCCUUGGGAUUUUUGGUGGACUUGGUGCACGAGUGGUGUCCACGUGUUGCUUCACUGUUUGUCCAAAUGGAUGCCACGUGUUGAAUUUUCAUUUGCUUGGUGGAGGCCAAAAAAAAUUUUUUUUUUUUUUUUGGACUGGUGGUGUCUGUUGGGAAACAGACUUAAGAACCUUGCUGUUGGUGGUGGAGUUGGAUCAAAGGUGAUUAAAAAAGAAAAGACUGCAAAAUAAAAACUGAUUAGCUAAAAAGUCCUAACUAAAAACCCUUAUUUUUGCCUGUGAAAGAAUCACAGCGGGUUAAUUCUUUUUUUCUUUUUUCUUUUUCUGAUUUUUNAAAAUGAAUCGAUGCGAUUAAUUCGAAAAAGAUCGAGAUAGUCUUUUUAAGAGUCUUUUAUGGGUUUUUUAACAAUUUUUAGGUUGAAAGAGAAAGAACGUGAAUAGGAAAAAUUGGCCAUAUAAGAUUAUGAAUUAAAAAUUAUAUAAUGUAUUAGACUGGGUUGAGAUGAUAAAGGCGUAAAGGGAUUUUUAGGAUUUUUUAGGUUUUUUAUAAAAUUUUUAGGAAAAAUCCAAAAACGAAGAAAGUUUCCAAACAAAAAGGAUGAUAGAAUCCCAAAAAUAUUUAUCUGAUCCCAAAAGAGGUAUUUAGGAUCCCAAAAAUAGAAUUCCCAAAAAAUAUUGUUGUCUGAACAUCAAACACAAAUUUUUAGUAAAGGCGUGGAAGAAGAUUUGGGAUUUGGGAUUUGGAAUUUGAACCUUGAUCGGUUCGGAUUUGAGAGAUCGGGGAGAAAGGGGGGAGAACCAUAGUCUCAAAAUCCCAAAUCCCAAAUCCCAAAUCCCAAAUCCCUUGUUGGAAAAGUAAAUUGUUGGAAAUAAAAAUGGAAUUAAGACAAUCCGAAAGGUCUAUUGUAGUAUAUGCGAUUAAUUCGCGUGAUAAAAAAUGAAUCGAUGCGAUUAAUUCGAAAAAGAUCGAGAUAGUCUUUUUAAGAGUCUUUUAGGAUUUUUUAGGUGAAAAACUUUAGUGCAAUGGGUCUUUCCGCUGGAAUGCUUAGGUUUCCAGCGUGAAGAAGUCGAACCGUAUAUGGAAUAAGAAGGUUUCUUGAACGUUAUGAUUAGCUUCUACGAAAAGAACAAGGAGUAAUGAAGCCUUCAUCCGGGUCUACAGCACAUACUUGAGAAGCUGUUUGGCCAGGUUGUUCCUGAACUUAUGUACCAAGCAAUUUAAGUACUUACGACAGCCCCGUAAUUAUUCGGGUUUACUAUAAUGGAACUUAAGUAUCACGGGUAUGGUGUAUGUCUUACGGCAGAAUACGUGUAGGAGGCCGAAUUGGAAAUCAACCACUACAAGCCUAACGUUUACUAGAAUCUUAUGUGACUCUAAUAACUACAACUAGUGUAUUCAGUAACUAUAACCCGUUGCCCAUAAAUAAAAACUACCACUGAAACAGUACCAUCAGAUGUGCGUUGACAUCGCUUGGUAGAAGGAAAAAAUGCUUAUCGUGGCACCGAGGGGUUCCGCUAUGUGAGUUAAAUUACUUCGGUAAUAGGUUAUCUAGGACGUCAACUAAAAAGUUGAGAAAGGUGAGUCAGCCACAGUAAGCUAUCCGACGGAAACUUUAGCCGCUAGGGCCCAUAGUCCGGAUACUGCUUAAACUAGAGAACCAGACCACCAUAGGGCCCAUUGAGAUAGCCUUUCUGUAGACCCUUGAGAGCAUGAUAUCCUUGUAAGAGCUCGUGUCUUUGGAGGAAAGCUAGAAGUGGUGGCAACGAUUCAUCCGUUGUGUUGGUGAUAAUUAGUUAAAAAAGCGUGCGCUACACCUAUGGCAUUAACGUUUCUCGCUCGAAAAUGUAGGAGCCAUGUGUUCGAAGAAAACAGCUCCAAUUACUUUCCAGUAUUGAGGCGAGAGUGUUAAUAAUCGACGGAUUGUAAAACACUCAGUCAGGUAUAGGUUUUGAUCCAGUUUUUGGGAAGGGCCACACUAGCAGUUACGAGGAAGCGCGCCUCCAUUAGAAGAAGAAGUUAAACUAACAACAGAGAAGGAAGGAACACUAAUAUAGCCGAAGACGAAGAUGGGGAGAAAAGAGCCUAGGAACGGAGAAAAAGAAGGGGCGGCGACUUCAAGACGGACACCAUAACAGUGGCGGAGCAAUUAACACCUAGGGAGCGUUAGCGUACUGACCACGUGAAGAACAUAGAAUGGAAGAGAGAGUAAAAAAACAUAGGAUAUUAGGGAAAGUUAGAUCGGAAGGUGAUAAUGGUUGAUAGAAACGGCUUUGUUAGUUGAGAUUUAAAAAUUCAAGCAGUGUGGUCGCCGAACAAUAAAUUAGAGAUCUUCGGGAGUGAUAUAAUCAAAUAUGUGUAUACGCUGGUUAGUAUACAAUCACUGAUACAAGAAGAACCACAAUUAUACGAUUUUUGAUGAAGUUUCCAUCCUCAGACACAUCUUUAAAACAAUCUUAACUAAUUCCUUUGUACCUCACGCUUUCCAUAUUUAUAACAAACACUACCAACCCCACUAGGAGUUUUCACCGAUGAUUACUAAAAAUACUAGCAGUGCCUCCUGCAGGAUACAAAAAUUUCCGUUAAUUAUUUUCCAGACCUCUUUCUGUUCCGCGCGCGGGAUCUCUCCAUUCCGCGUGUGAAAAUAUUUUAAAACUUUAUUAGUUCUUUAAGACAUGAUAUGAAAGAUUAUUAAUAAUUCAUCAUGAUUUAUAUGUGAAAUUUUAGUAUAAUGUUAUUUAUAAGACAUUGAUAGGUUAUUAGUACAAAAACCUGUUUUUGUUUGCUUCUUUUCUUUUCUUCGGUUCACCAUUAAAAUUUUUGUUUUAUUGUCCUUUCUUGUUUCAUGGAAAAACAGAGGUCUAUUCUGGUUGUAUUUCCAUUGAUCAUUAAGUGUUUGUACAUCUUUUGAAACUACAGUUUUUGUAUAUUAAUAUUCGUGUACUAAUAUUUUUCAUUGUACAUAUUUUAAAAUUUCAAAGUUCGGUUUUUAUUAAUUUUCCCGUAGUACUAGUGUACUUUCGAUUCACAAAUUCCGAGGUUCGGUUUUAUGCAGUAUAAUCUUUACAACUAAUCAAGAGAGAGGGGUGAGGAGAGUUAGUAGUUAGUAGUAAAAGUAGUGAACUAUUUCUUAUGAGGAGAGGGAGCAAUCUAAACAGUAGAGGUUACAGAAGAAGAAGAAGUAGGAGAUACAGAGCUCAGAGUAGUUUUAAUCCGAGAAGUAGUAAAUAUUUCAAUGAUUAUAAGGCUCUAACUCUUCUACUUCGAAAACGGAAAGAAAAUGGUGAUGCGAACCACCUUGAUGCACUAAAUCAUACUACCCAUCCGACUAAGUGGGGACGACGAAAUCGGUGAUAUGAGGUACAGUUACACAGUAGAAAGGUUUGUAAUAGGAAUAGAAGGGAGAGUAGUAGCAACAAAAGUAGGUAAGAAGAUUAGUUGGUAAGUAAUGAUGAUACUUCGUGCCUAUGAAGUUUAAAGUACGGCAUAGGCAUAGCCUAUGGCUAUGCGCGGGUUAUGCGCGGGCUAUGCGCGGGCUAUGCCCUUACUUCAUAGACUGUAAAAAUUUUUUAUUUUUUUAUAGCCUAUACCGAGCCUAUACACUCCCUAUGACCCCCUAUGCCCCCCCUGUGCCGGGGCGAGAAAAAACCAGAUUUUACUAACUUUGAAUUUUAAAAAAAUUUUCGAGUGCAGGUUUGGAUAACCUUUCUUCCUUUUCUCACUCUUUUUGUGGUUAUAGACAAGUUAAGUAGUAAAGUAGAUAGAAAAACAAGAACUUACGAUCUUCCGCGAGGGAAAGCAAGAGAGAAGUGUGUCAUAAAUGAGAGAAGGUAGAUUAAACAGUUGGAUAAUAAUUCGUUGUUUCCGAUAUCUUUUAUACUAAAAAAAAAGGAAGAGAUAAUUUAACAAUCGUAUAAAAAAAUAAUGAUAAAAUUAUUAUCUUGAUUGUUUAGUCCAUAUAUAUAACUUACCGAUUAAUAGAUCAAACACGCUGAUAUAUAAAUAACAAUAGUAAACUAGUUCAACUUACUAUCAACCAAACUAUGAAAAACUUAAUAAUAAAAUAUACUAACUAAUAGAAAAAAAUACUUGUAUACAUCUUAUUAAUAUGUUCAAUUACGUAUAAUCUUAUAUAAGGAAUUAUAUCAGAUCUAUAAGAUUAACAAGAGUUAUAUAGUAAUGUAUAUUAGUUGUAUGUAAAUUUAUAUAAAUUUUAUUAUAAAAUAAAUUCAUAUAGGGCGCAUAGCAUAGAAUCUUCAAAAUCUUUAACGGCAUAGUGGCAUAAGCAUAGCAUAGCAUAGGCAUAGGGGCAUAGGCAUAGACACGUUGUAUCGUAAUGAGAGUAGUUAAAGUAAGUAACUCUAUCCUAGAUACCACACUGCGUUAAAUAUAGCGGUGGAGUUAUGAGAUAACAUGGGAUGUAUGUGAUUUAGUAAGUUCGCAAAAACGCACUCAGAUAAAGAAAAGAAUGAUACUUCGAUGUUUUUUUGUUUGUUGAAAUACUAUUAUUUCUAUUAUACUUUAAAGUUCAUAAUUUAAUGCUUGAGUUUUGAUAGUUUAUGACUUUAUGAUAUUGAUCAAUUGAUGUCAUCUUCUACUAAAUUAUAUCUAUUGAACGUACAAGUUUAUGGGAGGUUAAAGCGAGUGUUAACCUUCGUGAUGUUCACUCCGAUUCUCGGGAUUAGCGUUGAAAAACGUUCAGACCACAACUACUGGGUUUGUUAAAGGUGAUGAGUCGACAAGUAUAUUUACAAUAUAAUUGAUAUUUAAUUAUUACAUACAUUUACCCACGUAAACAAAGAAUAGAUUAGAAUGAUGUUUAAUCAUUAUUGAUAAUUUUACAUAUUACGUAUCUAAAUAUUAUCAUGAUAUGAUAAUCGUUCAUCAUAUCUUGAUUGUAUGGACCACUGAAAUAAAAAGAAACAGCUUAACGGUAUAAUCAAGACUUUUCCGGUACACGAAGUGCUAUAUGUGAAUCAACUAGCGUAUGAAAUAGAACAAGAAGUCGAAAACGUUGAUUAGAAACAUUUCGAACUAUAUUUGGGUUGUAUUAGAGGAGUAGAGAUGUUUAAAAACUUAAACUUAUUUUUUUAAGUCACAAAUUCUUUACUGGUCGCUGUACGUUUCCCGCUACUUCGACCGUAACGGUAGAUAAUAGUUAUUAGAACUUAUGAAGUGAUAUAAAGAGGAGGGAGGGGAAUUUUCUGAAAGUUAACGAAGGAAACGAGACGGGUAUCGGAGCAUUUAUACUGGGUAACGACCGGAAAAAAGUGGCAGUUGAUCAACUUCAUAUGCUGCUUGUUCUCCUGGUUUUUAAAAUUCUUAUAUUUGUUACGAUCAGGUUUUACACCCGUAGUUAUGUUACUAUCAACGUAAAAAUGGGCGAACAUCAAAACGGGUAAAUGAAAACCAGGUUAGUAGGCUACACUUGUAGAAAGAUUUCGACGAGAAAACGAAUACAUUGGCAACUUCCCAUUCUUUCCGACAACGUUUAGAACAAUGUUGUCCGGAUUCGUUGAGAGAAACCCGACACUUUGCAGAGUAGUACAACUGGUACGGGCACGCCCGUAUUUGUAUUGGUGAGUUACAACAACGGGAAAAGUGAUAAGAUAUGUGGAGCUCAUAGAAAGAUUACAGGAGUUCGUAGUUUAGUUAUGUUACCCGACGUCUUCCACUGGUUAUAUUUAAACCAGCAAAACGAAGGUUAUUAAAAAGAUAAUUUUAAAGUGUAUAUAAAGUAUAUUAUUGCAUUUUAACUUCAUAUAUGACUUUGUUUUAAUUAAAUGAAAAAUAUGUUUUAAAAAAUGGUCAGUUGUGUAACAAGCUAUGUGAUAGUCAGUGUUAAACUUGCUGUAAACGGAGGGAUUAUAAGAGGUGGUAUAAUAGGUUAUUGAAUUUGUAGAAGAGGUCAAAAUCUCAUUAACCUCCGUAGUUAUCUAAGCUAUUUGUGUUAAGGGUAACCUCUUAAGCGUUCUUUCAAAUAUUCCCGGGAAACAGAGAACAGGUAGAUAGGUAGCGUGUAAUAUGAUGUAGAUCAGAAACGGGUAAGGAGGUAUACCGGUAAGUAACUUAAGAAGCCAACAACUCGGAAGAAAACUUGUUUUCCUUAAGCAUUGAACAUUUAUCUUUCACCAAAUUUUGGUUACGGCAUAACAGGUUGUCCAAGCUCACGGCGUACUUUCGAUAGUGUUGAUCAUCGUAACUUUCCAUAAGAACGUAAUAUUUUGGUAGAUCGAUCAAGAGAUGUGGUUAAAAGAGAGUUGAGAAAGGAUGUUUGAAGUAAUUAGCAUCAAACAAAGUAAAAAGGUAGAAAAGACAGAACUUUAUAGAAGAGACGUAACCCUCACUUUAUGUUUAGGUAACCAAGGAAAACGGAACCAAAAAACCCACGUGAAGAUGAUGGUUAUGACGUAGGCGAUGAAAACGAAACUUGAAAAAAAGAAAGUCUCAAGCUAAGGCGUUGUAGUAGAGGGAGAAGUAACAGUAACUUCACUAUACGUAUAAGUUUUAGGCCGUACUUGAGUAAAACAAGGAAGAGACAGUGAAAGAAAUAGUAUUUUAGAAAAUAAAGGAGGGAGUGUACGUCGCCUGUAAAGCACCUACGAAAACGUAAAACCUUUGGAGGUUGUUAUAUGACGAAACGAGCCAUAUAGGGAAGAGAACAGUGAAAAGGCGUUUUUUAAUAUACAUUCUAGUAAAAAAUGAAAGUUUAAACGAUUUACAUGUAUGAAGGUACGUCCUAGAGAUAGCCAACGAAAGCUUAGGUAAGUUAUUUAAUUUGAGGUUAAGCCACUUAUAUAUUCUAGUAAAAAAUAAAAGUUGAAAGUUUUUGAAAAAAUUUGAAAUUUUUCAAGUAAAAUAGUUUCAUUUUAUGACAAAAAAAAAUUUUUAUUUUGUUUCUUUUGGUGACGGAUUUUUUUUUCUGUUUUGUGACGAAUUUUUUUUGUUUCUGUAUAUGUGUUCUCUCUUUGAUCUCUCUCUCCUUUCCUCUCUUUCUACUUGUGGUAUCUCCCUCUCCGCUCAGCUCAACUUAUUCGUCUCUCUCUCUUGGCCUCCGUUAGCCUCCACUACCUGCUCGCCCUCUCUCCCUACUCACAAUGCUCAACUCUUUCCCUCUCUCUGGCCAGACUCUCCUCACUCCCCCUCCCUGGCCUUUCCCUCGCUUGAUUUGCCUCUCUCCCUUACCUCGCCUAUCAUCCAACCAAAACCCAAAUAAAAUCUACAAAAUUUGGGUAAUCUGGUUAUUUAUAUCCUAGGUUUGGGUAAUCUCGUAUAUAAAGAUCUAGGUCUCCCAAAUAAAAUCUACAAAAUUUGGGUAAUCUGGUUAUUUAUAUCCUAGGUUUGGGUAAUCUCAUAUAUAAAGAUCUAGGUUUGGGCAAUCCUCCCAAAUAAAAUCUACAAAAUUUGGGUAAUCUGGUUAUUUAUAUCCUAGGUUUGGGUAAUCUCAUAUAUAAAGAUCUAGGUUUGGGCAAUCCUAGCUUAUACUUAAUCCGUACGGAAGCAACGCGGAACGCGGAACGGGGAACGGGAUCCACGCGCGGAUCCGUUACCAUGGGUGGAUCCACGACGGAUCCGCGACCGGUAACUCGGAUCACGGAUCCUCGUACGGCUUCAGCGCGAAAAAAUUAGAUACUCACCAUCCUUCCCUGUUAACGUAGGUUCUACAAACAAACCGUUCAUUAAGUUUUGGAACCUUCGUUGAACGGAAAACGAAGAUCCUUAAGGAGGCGGGGGGGGGGAGGAAAGAAAAAACAAAUUUCAACAGCAGGUAGUGAACCGCCCCCAUAUAACGUUAGAUUAGUUAAUACUGUUGUUCUUUUUUCAUAUAUCUUAGUACUUUGUCACAUCCUCUCCUACCACCUUGUUUUUGAAACCUUGUUGAAAAAAAGAAAAGACGAAGAACCCGACAGAAAUUUCUUCAGUAGUAGUCAGUAGUGACCGACCCACCAUAACGUUCGAAUGUUUGGUACUGUUGUUCUCCUUUCAGGAUAACGGCCAUAUAGUUUAAUAUAUCUUAAUCACAAUUCCCCGCUUUUUUUAUUUGAUCGUUGUUGCGGCUUCCUCCGGACUUCAGAUACCUGACGAAAGGGAAUUCAUCAAUUAAUUCGUUCAGGUGGACUAUAAAAAGUGGAAGACAAUUGGUCGAAUUAAAAUUAGGACGAAGUUUAUUACUACGAACAACCGUCUUAUGAUAAUACAUCAUCAUUAUACCAAAGAAUAUUUUACUACAACUACGACUAGACAUGAUUGAAGAGUAGUUAAAAACAAACAUCCCACAAAUACGGGAAGCAGUGAACCGUUUUUGAUAAAACCUAUUCGCUUACCUGUCAACCCUCUUUAUAACGGAAUCCGUAACAAAAUGACAAGGACUCCCCAAACGCAACGGAUUUCGACAUCCAGAAAAGAACGUUUCUGAAUCAAACAAAUGUACAAGCUCAAUUUUAAAAGUGGUGAUAAAAAGAAUGUAAAUAGACAACAAUAGUUAAAAAGUGGAUGAACUAGAUCCCGGCGGUAAAUUUAUUUAAAUUAAUCAGAUACGUGUACCAAGUAAAUUCUUUUUAACGAUUCUUUCGGAUUAUACGUAAUCCUUAUGUAGAAUACUGUCUGAUAUGUACAACUAAAUGAAAGUCAGAGACCGAUUAAUCAGAUAUGUGUAACAAGUAAAUCCUUUUUAACGAGUUUUCCGGAUUAUACGCAAUCCUUACGUAGAAUAUUGUCUGAAACGUACAACUUAGUAAAAUACGACCUGAUCUCCGUCUUAACAAGAUUAAUUAACCCAAGGGAAUUAAACUAGAAGAUGAAACAAUAUAUAAACAUUAACGAACUUAUAUAAGAUAAAUUUAUAGACCUUAUUAUAUAGAGUCUUCCGAGGAGGAUUAUUCGAAUAAACUAAGGGUCAUGCAAGUUUACGUAGGGUCCCUUUUGAUGCACGUUUUUUUACGAAAUCACGCCAGUUAUCAAACCGAUGCAAUAAAGGAAAAAGAGUAUAAAGGAGUGUAACUUAUACUAUAAAAUAACAGUACGUGUUACCGAUUUUAUAACAGGAAAAAGAAAAAAGAAUAAGUCUUAUUAAAUAGGUGAUUUCUACAAGACGAACUUCUUCUCGAGAGACUACGUCUUGGACUACGAACCAAUCUAAGGUACUCCCUCUUUGAAAGUUGUCAUUCGUCGGACGAUGAAUUGAUUUUAUUUUCCCCGAAUAUGUACACAUGGGAACCUUUUAGACUUUGAAGUAUAUAUGAUCACUUCCUCGGACGAGAAGCGUCGCCCAACUGUAUUUUUUUUUUUUUAAAACAUAAAUUUAUAUUUAUAAUAAAUAAGUAAUUUUAUAUUUACAUUACAAAAGUCUCUUGAUUAAUUCAUUUUUAUUUUUAUUUGUACACUUUUUCUUAUUGGUUAAAAAUUUCUUUAUUAUGGAUUCCUCCAUAAACCAAGCUGCAUUUUGGUAUGUUAUAUCAAAAGAAAUCCUUUUUUAGUAGUUCGGUAAUUUGUAUCGAGAGUUUGUCUUUUUAGUAGUUUGGUACUUUAAGAACAUCACUUUUAAAAUAAAAGAAAUCUUACUAAAAGCAUUUAUGAAAAAGGUUUCACACCGUAUCAAGAGUUUAUGAAAUAUAACUUUUUAACUCUUCUUUCCACCUAUUAAAUAUAUUUUUUAAACAAUUAAAAACUAUCCGUAAAUUUAAAUUGUAUAAUAACGAUUAAAAAAUGGAUUUUAGUUUUUAAAAUUUUUAGUACGUUUCAGAGUUUCUUGUUACUUUUUUUAGACUAAACUGCGGCUUUCGAACGCUUUUUUUUAUUUUUUAGAGUUGAGUGGGGGAAGCAACCGGAAGGAGCUCCGGUUUAGCUGCAGCGACUCAGCACGACGCACGAAACAGCUGGAAAGAACUCCAGUUUAACUGCAGCGACUCGACACGGUGGCGCUAAUUCUUACGGAGGAGAGGAUAACGGAGAGGGUCAGGGGGGGUCAAGUGUAUGCCUAGGUGUAUGGGUCCAUUCUCUUCAAUUUUUUUUUAUCUUCCCAUGUCUCUUCUUUUUCUUCUUUUUUUUUUUCUUUUCCUCCAUCCUCGAAACCUAAAAGAAAAACAGAUUGCAACGGCGGCAGCACAGGUGGUGAUUGCGGCGGGUUCAACAGCAACAACAGCACUAGCGGCGACUACGGUGGGUUCGGCGGCAGCGACGGGUUCGGAGACUUCACAGGUGACGGCUACGGCGGAUUCAGCGGCGACAGCGGUCGUGGCGGGUUCGACGGUGGCGACAGUAGUCUGUUCUUCAUUUUAUUUUAUUUUCUUUUCUUUUACUCUCUUCUUUUUUUUCUCCUCUUCUCAUGUUUUUUUCUUCUUUUUCUUUUCUUUCUCUCUAUCUCGACAUAUAAAAAAAAAACAGGCUUCAACGGCGGCAACACAGGCGGCGAUUGCGGCGGGUUCAGCGGCAGCAGUGACACUAACGACGACUGCGACGGGUUCGGCAGCGACGGCGGCACCGGUAGCGACAGCGGCGGGUUCGGUGGUCUACCUCUUUCUCUCCCGAUACAUCUCUCUCAUCUCUCUCUCUCUACGAAUCCCUCUCUCUGGAAAGUCCUCCACUUCUCAGCUUAACCCUCUCUCUUUCACUGCAAAGCUUUUCACUUCUCAAUACCUUACUCUCCUGUGAUGCACCGUACAUCCUAACAGUUUAUCACAUAACAUACUUAUUGGAACUCUUAUCCAACCCCCGGUAAGUUAAGUGACCAUCUCCCCACCCGUCAAAACAUCGAUCUUUCUAUGAAUACAUUUUUUAGUUCAAAGGUUUCGUGCAUCAUUAAGUCUAAAAUGUCCCCACAUACAUUUAUCUAUUAUCAAACCCUAUCUCUGUAUAUAGUUGUUAUUAAUGAUUCUCGACAAAUUUAGAGUUUCAUUAACGUACGUAACAUAGACGUCUAACCUUUCCUUAGACCUCUUGAUGUUUUGCUCUAGAAGAAUAACCUUUUCGUCAGGGUAAAGACGUGGUUAAUACUGCGUUGACAACGACUCCGCGUCGUUUAUAAACUCCUCUCGUGACACGUUCUCUACAAAGUUCCAUUGGGUCACUUAAGCUGUUAAAUAAAGUAUGGAGACCAAUUACCCGAACACGAUCUCCAAAUCUUAUUACUGAUACGUUGCGGUUGAUAUAGGAAGGACAACCGUAGAAAUAGAGGUAAGAAGUAUAAAAGUACAGUCACUUGAUAAACUUUCUAAUACACAUGCCAGUAAUAUAACGGAAACUCUCUAGGAAAUCAAAAUAAGUUGGUUUGGUUCAAGUCGACUUCAAGAAUAUAGUGUUUGGUAACGAUCGAAAGAUCAUAUCAUUUACCAACUGAGCUGACUACCCGGUUACGAAUACAGGUUAAAAUAAGCAUCAAAGUAUGAUUAUGUUUUCGUGGAUUUAUGGUAAUAUCAAAGGAUUUAUGGUAAUAUCAAAGGGUAGUAAAGGGUUACACCCUGAUAAAUCCUAACUGUAAAGAUAAAUUUCAAAAAAGGAAAAUAGAAAAUAGAACUAGGAUCAAAAUAAACAUGGAGUUUAAAAGGACUUUAUUAAAAACCUAAACGACAUCGUGUCAAGAUACAGCUCUUUUGACACAAUAACCGCUCUUUUAAAAUAUUUAUUGUGUAUAUGAAUUCGUUUAACAACGAAAUAUCUGGAAUAGUUUCGACUAAUACACGAGUCCUCCGCGAUCUUGAGACUUAAAAGGGAGAUCGUAAUCACGGUACGAUAUAACUACGUAACGGACUUUAUCAUUGAACGUUCCUUAGGAGCUGUAAUUCCAUGAGAGAGAAAAACCUCCCAAAAGUAGUAUGUUAACGGUGUGUAGAGCAAAAAUGAAAUACCCACCGAUAAAACAUCACCUGUACUUUAUGUACGGUUAUAUAAGGGAAAUCAAACAAAUGUCUUCGAACAUUAAACAUUCUAGCACGAACUGACUCAGUUAGUAAAGUUUUACUUCCUUCGAAUGUACAAAAAAACGAGGUAUAUAAAGAGAUCACGUAAUUCACGUACAAAGUAGUUUUAUUUUGUCAUUUUCCGAUGAGUUUAAAAUGUACGUAGGUAAAUACGUACACCUACAGUUUGUACGCACCUUUACCGAAAUAAAAUCGAAAAGACUAAAAAUAUAAGAUGGAAAAUAGAGAAAUAUUUAAACGUCAAUCAAGAAAUUUUAGUUUUCAGACGACCAAAUGGACGGUAAAAGUGUUUUCAUACAUGAAAAAUACAGUUAAGAAAGGGUCGUAAUAAAUACAAUCCAGCAGCCCGUAACUUAAGGUUAUUACAGUGAGAGUCAUAGUGACUCCGAAUUGAAAAUCUAUAUACCCCUCUGAUAUCUUCACUUGUUCACCGAUUUUCAAGGUGCACUGAAGUAUCUUUGACAUAUUACAAUGAACUGACAAACCCUAGACCAAUAUCUCGUUGAAGACACUCGUAGUUUAUUGUAUAUUAUAACUCGUUCAUUUAAGAGAAUAAAUAUAAUUAUAUCAGACCAGUAAAAAGUAUGCACAAUAGAACAAAUUAAUACCUUUAUUUUCGACUAGAUAAAAAAAAAAAAAAAGGAUACCGUAACACAAAAACGAGUCUAUAUCGCUCUCGAGAAGGUCACGACGUAACAUUUUAUAGUCUUGACUUGUUCUUCUCCCUUUCGAACCUUGUAGUAUCCCAGUCUUACAACAUACCAGGUUGACUUCUAGGUGUACGUCACGUGCUGCUACCAUUAGCGUCAUGAGAAUUGACAAAGACAUCAUAGGUUUUAUAUAAAAAGAUAUAUCUUUGUUCACAAAAUAAAUCAUGUCAUUUAAGAAUCUUUAUUCUUUCUUUUUUUAACAUGACCAAUUUCUUCAUGUAUCUUUUAGUGUUAUAACUCGCACCUCUAAGCGACGAGAAUUUCUUUAAAGCAAGUCUUUAAAUGAAAUAAUAAUAUAAGUUCUUGUUUUUAUAAACAAGGAUUUUCGGACCAGCCAAGUUAUAUUGGUUUGUCAAACAGCUGACCGAAAUUACUAACUUGACAAACCAAGUCACCCAAAAGUCCUUUAACAACCCAAGAUAUACUUGACCUCUUAAGCGCCCGAGCUAUAUUUGACUCGACUAUUACUUCCACGUCCCAAUCUCACGUAAAGUUAGCCGACUAGACCAGCCCGGAACUGUUAUAACCAAAAACAUGCCACAUAGUGUUCCAGUAGUGGAGCAAUAUUAAAACGUCCAAAAAGGCGCUCCGAACUUCUACAAGUACUGUAAGACUUGUAUCAUUCUCUACGCAUCGACAGUGCGUCAAAUGUUAUAGAUUUUACGUAAUUAAAAGUUGAAAGUCUUAUACGUCGUCGAAAAGUCGUUCGGUACUUAAAGAGACAUUAAGCCCCUUUAUAAAUGAUCAAACACAUUGAUAGAAAAAAAAUAGAACGAAAAAAUGAUUAACAACAGAAUUGAGAUGACAACUGACGUAAUGGCGUUCACAGUCGACGUUUAAAACACGACCUCAUACUGAGUCCUAAAUUAAAACAAUAUUGUUAUCAGGGGUUUGAAGCUUAAAAUAAAAGUAGACUAGAAGGCCAAAAAUAUAAAUCAGGAUUCUCAAUUAAAGUCAACACACCUUUACAACUGCAACAUAAGGUUAAAAUACGCUCUGAAUUAUUAUACCCCGAUUUCCCUUAGCUUUUAUAAAACAAAAAAAAUAAAGAAAUAAAAAUAUAUAUAAAAAAUAAAGAAAUAAAAAUAUAUAUAAAAAAUAAGAAGGUCUUCACUUGACUACCUAUUUUUUUUUGUAAGCUUUUAUUCAUUCAUUUUAGCUCCCCUUUUGUCUUUUUUUUUUUUCACUUUUUUCUUUAUGUGACCCGUUCCUCAGCUUUAGCAAUUUAAAGUCGCCGGUUUUAAACUCGGUAAGAAUCUUAUUAAUCACUUUUAGUUAACUAAAAGAUGCAAAAUGUUUAGGUCAGUCUUGUCAGGUGUGACGUCGGGAACCCGACCUGCAGGGCAUAAAUUCAGACCACCAGAUGGGGUCUUAUCAGUGGUUUCUCCCUUUUCGUAAGCAAAGAUGGACGUCGUUCGGAAUUAAAUGAAGAGUACCGUUCGCACGUCUUCGGAAUAAAAGAAAGGUAAAUCUUUCGCAAAUGGUUUCGACGAACAAACGUUACCCUUAGCCGUUAGUUUUAUAAAUAGAAAAAGAAUGCUUCCCAAUCGUUCUAAAAUAAUUAUGCCCUUGCGGUUGGAUCGAAAUUAUGCCCUUGUGGUUGGACCGAAGGAACGAGGACAAUAAGCCUGCGAUGUCCUGACGCUUAGUACAAAAUUUUCGUUAAUUUAACUGGUACGUUAGAAGAUGCGGCCUCUCAGAUGUCGUUAGGAUAAAUAAUUUGUUGGUUUCAGAACAAGAAGGUUUAUAAUCUAAUAAAUCACAGUUGAUAGGAAAGGUGUAGUGACUAAUAAAUUCUGAGGACCGAAAGGAGGAGAUUAAGAGGUAACGGACAAAGGAGGUAGAUAGGGUGUUGACAAAGGAGGCAGAUAGGGCGUGGGGCCCUUUCUUUGGGGUCUUAUUCGAAAUUCACGUCGGAACCAGGAACUAUGACAGUACUUACACUAAAACACUUAUCAUCUCCUAUAUAAAGUCGAUUGCGAUCUGUAUAAGAAUUCCUAAAAUAUAGGAAUUCUAUGUACUUUAACUCUGUAGUUUUAACACUUUAGGGUACAAAUAAAAUAUCGUCCUUAGACUGUAGCGUUUUCAAAUUUUCAAAACACCUUAAAAUGUAAGAGAGUUUUGUAACCUAAAUUUUUGGGUGGAGGAGGUAACCAUUUAAAGAAAAAGUUUCUUUUAAAAAAUUCCUGACUUUAUAAUAAAACGUUGUAGAUAUAGUUAAGGUUUUUAAAUUUAACUCAUUUGUCUAUUUUUUUUCAAGUUAAAUUCUUAUAAAUUUAUCUAAAAUAUAAGUUUAACAAUUAUUAAAAUAUACUAAUUAAAUCACAUUUUAAUAUAUAUUAUAGUCAGAGAUAUUUUUUUUCCAUAAUACCAUUAAACAACUAUAUCAAGCCAUUAAAAAUACAACUUGAUUUCGUCCGUAUUAUAUAAAGACAUAUAAAAUUCUGUACAUGAUUUAUUUUUAUAAAGAUAGUCUAUCUUUAGAUAGUACUACUCAUACAAAAAACUUUUCAAUUAAGGCCUGUCUUUUAAAAUUUAAGCUCAUCCAAGAUUUCCACAUCCUAGAUUUUCCACAUCCCGCAGACAUCUUCAACAAACUCUACACAAUAUCAAGUGUGUCAUGAUUAUGAUUAAUACUACAUUGGAACUAGUAAAACCUUUAACUGUGGUAAUGUAUGUACAUCAACUAACGUAGUAUUACUAUCAUUCACGUUGAAGAAAAUACGUAACAAUCAUGUACUAAAAAUAGAACUAAUCAUCGUAUGAAAAAUGUUUAUUAAUAUUCUCAAACCGAUGUUACGAUAGCUAUUGUAGAUCGUGAACCACGAUGAUUCAAAAUACGGCAAUCUAGAUAGUGGGCCUAGUAAAGAUGUGUAAUCUAGUAUCAACACUCCUUCACUUAAGAGCUUUAUGCUCUCAAUCUGAAGUACAUUUUGGCUGGUUCCCAGCACAACCAUUCGAAACCUUUUCGGUUUCUACAAUUUUAGUGGUUACCACGUAACCUUUACUCAGGUGCUCUCGUUUAUCAUAUUUUGAACGUGACCUCGUUUUAACGAGAGCCCCUGGCCAGGGACCGUCCCUCCCUGGCCAGAGUAGUCGACCACAGCGCCCCAACGAACUCCGUUGGCCAGGGACCGUCCCUUCCUGGCCAAGGGCUUGCGCUUGGGUCGCUCUUUUCGGUUUUUAACCGAUUCAGGACUCUAAGGUCAAGAGCCCUUGGCCAGAGAACCCCUCCUUGGCCAGAGGGCUCUGGCCAGAGAGACCCUCUCUGGCCAUAGGCUUGCGCACUGGACUCGACUUCGAGAGCCCCUGGCCAGGGUACAGCCCCUCUGACCAGGGAGGCGCGCGUCUCACGGGUCACUCCCGUCACGUGUCUCACUUUUCAACUCCCCCGGUCGACCUAUAACAAUGUAAUCUCCCGAAUAAUCAGGGAGAGAGGGAGAGUGAGAGAGUCAAGUGAGAGAGAGAGGGAGUAUGAGAGAACGAGAGAGAGAGAGAUCUUCCCUUUCUUCUUCCUCUUCUUCUUCUCCUUUUCUCUUCCUUUUCUUCCUUCUUUUCCUUCCUCUUCUUCUUCCUCUAGUUGUUUUCCUUCGAAAACCUGGAGAGGGAGUAGGAGAGAAGAGAGAAAACUCGAUUGGAUCUCCAUUCGAAGGUUGGGAUCAAAUACUUUAAAUCCCAAAAACCCAAAAUCGAGAAAUCUACCCUAGUUUAAAUAGUGCGCUUAAUUAGCGUAUAUAAUAGUUAGGUAAAAACUAGUGCGUACGCCAAUAUAAAAAUACUAUUCAAGUUACUAUGCAAAAUAGUGAUUUGAAGGGAAGAAAGAUUUUUACAGGAGAGACCGUAUAUCGGCUACUCUGAAGAAGGGUGGCAAAAUACUCGUAAGAUUUUUCUGGAUUUUCUAGUAUUUUUUCUGUCUGGAAAUGCUGCUGUCGAAAAUUAGCGAAGUUACUAUGCACGAUAACUAUGCAUGCACGAGGCUUCACGUGGGUUUUUUUUUUUUUUUUUUUUUUUUUUUUUUUUUUUUUUUUUUUUUUUUUUUUUUUUUUUUUUUUUUUUUUUUUUUUUUUUUUUUUUUUUUUUUUUUUUUUUUUUUUUUUUUUUUUUUUUUUUUUUUUUUUUUUUUUUUUUUUUUUUUUUUUUUUUUUUUUUUUUUUUUUUUUUUUUUUUUUUUUUUUUUUUUUUUUUUUUUUUUUUUUUUUUUUUUUUUUUUUUUUUUUUUUUUUUUUUUUUUUUUUUUUUUUUUUUUUUUUUUUUUUUUUUUUUUUUUUUUUUUUUUUUUUUUUUUUUUUUUUUUUUUUUUUUUUUUUUUUUUUUUUUUUUUUUUUUUUUUUUUUUUUUUUUUUUUUUUUUUUUUUUUUUUUUUUUUUUUUUUUUUUUUUUUUUUUUUUUUUUUUUUUUUUUUUUUUUUUUUUUUUUUUUUUUUUUUUUUUUUUUUUUUUUUUUUUUUUUUUUUUUUUUUUUUUUUUUUUUUUUUUUUUUAACUUUUUACUAUAUGAAUAGUAAAAGUCUUACAGAAAAAUGCACAGAGGGGAAACUAUACUUCGGCUACUUUGGACAAGGGUAGCAAAAGACUCGUGGGAAUAUUUCGGAUUUUUUAAGAUUUUUUAUAAAUUUUUUCGGUCUAAAAUUUAAGUGGCGUAAUUAGUGCUAAUUACGUGACUAAUGCACGUUGUUUUUUCUCCUUUUUUUUUUAUCUUUUUAAAUUUUUCUUUAAAUGAAAGCUUUUUAAAGACUUAAAUUAAAGUGUGUUUGUAGGCGGAAACGAUGUUGGUCGUUAUUAAAUAUUAAUUUAAUUGGGAUGGAUAGGUGGAUGUUUAGAUGAAAUUGUUUGAUAGAUAGUUCACAGUAAAAGAGGAACGGAAAGAAAAUAAUAUAUGUCUUGAAUGAUAUUUGUAGGAUGAAUAAAAAUAGGAUGAAGUGCAAAUUUAAAAUUUCCGUUUUUAGAAAAUAAACUAAGUUUCCAAAUCUUUUUUAAAGUAGGUCCCGUCUGGUACUCCCUUCUAGAAAUCAAGAUAAAAAUUUUUCAGAUGUUUUUUAUAUUUCUAAAACUCUUUAUCUCAUUAAAUUUUCGAUGAUGCAAUUUUCCUAAAACUCGGACUUAUGAUGAAAUUUAAUUUUCUAAUGUGGAUAACACCACUUAAGACACAGUGUUGGUGCACAAGACCCUCUUGGCGUACAGUUUUCAGAGAACCUCGCUCUAACGCCGCAAAGCACCUCUGGCUAUCAAUGGCGAAAAUUAAGACACAGUGUUGGUGCACAAGACCCUCUUGGCGUACAGUUUUCAGAGCCUAGACUUUCUUGGUCAAACUUACCCAGACUUUCUUGGUCAAACUUACCUAGAAUCUCUUGGUUUCAAGUUACUAAACUUAUAAAGACUUUAUUGAUUAAACUAGUAGAGACUUUAGCUUUAUCACUUAGCUAUUUUAAAACAAUCAAUUCAACAGCCUCAUUCUCUUUUAAACAAGACAGAGAAAAGAAACGAAUACAAAUCUUCCUUGAAAACAACCACAUUAUUGUUAAUAGUGAAUGCAACCACAUUAUUGAUAAUAGUAAAUUUUCCUAGAUUUAUCCUCAAUACAAACACAUUACCUAUAUUUAUGCCAAAAAGAAAAGCUUCUGAUAACACUUCUGAUCAACUUCUUCGAGAUAUCACAGAACAACCUUUCCAUUUAACAACCUUUAUUUUUACCUUAAUUCUGUUAGGCUUUCCACUAAGAACCACCUGGACCACGUACCUUGACCACGUACUCACCACAGGUGCACAGCCUAAUAAUAAACAGGUUUACCUCCGGUGCACAGCGAAACCCUGAACGAACCUCCUUCGGUUUUUUAACGAGACCUCCACCUUUCAACCUGAACCACCACAGACAAACCCUUGUCUGAAACCUUGGAACGAAAACUACUACCUCAACCUAGUGUUCCACCAAUUUCUUGUCUUUAAUUUCGGGAUUUGAUUUUUUGGGAAUAAAAACGGACACUUUCCUAGUGUCGCCCAAUUAAGAAAAAAGAAAAAAGCAAAAGACUAAAAAAGAAAGAAAAGAACUUAAAAGAGAACAAAAAAGACAAAAAGGUAAAAAAGUUAAAAAAGAAAACUAAAAAAGUUAAAGGUCUAAGAAAGAAGAAGAAGUAUAAAGGUGAAAAGAGACCUUUAAGAAAAAAGUAAAAAGAGAAACGAAAAAAAAAAAAAAAAAUCGUCACAGGUUAUGUUCCAGCUUUACUUUUCCGCGUUAAUUUUGACGUCUUGACUUUCUUUAUAAAUGUUUUUACAUGUUUUACAGUCUUAGUCCGCCGAUUCGUAAAAGCGGAUUUAACAGUGUAAACCCUCUUCUACGAAGAUCAUAGUACCCUAGCGGAACAAAAACAAGUCACAAAGGAUAUGAUCCCACACCAUUACCAAGACUUCUACCAAGUUAAACGGAUUUUCCAAACCGUUAACCGACACCUAUAGAAAACUCCCAUCCAAAAACACCACGACUCCUAUUUUUUCCAAAAUAACUCUAUCUCCCUACCUGAUGACCCUAAUCACCCAAAACUGUACCUCAUUAAACUUUACCUCAUAAAUACAGCCAGUAUCCUCCUUUCUGGUUUGAGCCACAUCAACAGUAAUAUCCUCCUAUGAAACCUCCUCCUAUUCUCCUUCUAACUCCAUCUCUAUGUUAUGGAACAACACUCCCUAAGAACUCCAGAAACUCGACAACAAGGUCCUAUCGUUAAGAAACCUACAAAAAGACUAGUAAACAAGAGUUCAGUAGUGUUUAUCACAAAUCAAAAACUUCGACACAACGGUAACAACUCGUCAAAAGUGUCUUUGAUUAAAAGAGUCCUAACACCCACCUACAUCUCCAAACUUUACACCUUUCCUUGAUUAUACCCCUCUCUUAUUUCAUCUCGCUCAUUAUAGAUUCCCAAAUCUAUCUCUUUCUAUUGAAACAUCUCUUCAUCUCCUUUUCUUUCCCAUAACAAAAACAAAAAAGAAAAGGGAUUAGGGUUAGACCUAUCAAGGUUCAACCUAAAUAUUAUUUUCCCUUUAUACCGUACUCAAACAUUGUUUCCACCAUUGUAUUUUAAGAUCAUUCAAAUAUAACUAUCAGAUUCGAUAUCAGAACUUCCAAUUCAAACAGGUUUUCUACAACAACCGUUUAUAGAAGGGUUAUUAGUAAAAGACAUUAAGGAAGUUCACCCAUCGGUUUAUCAUGAGCUUACAGAGAUUAUUAUGACAGAACUAGAUCAUUCAGUAUUAUAACUUCUAAAUCGAGCAGAGCUUUUAUAACGACCAUCAUUAAAAGGGUUAGAACAAGUCCCUCCACUGUAUACGGUCUUUUGGUUUCAACAUUUAGUUUGAACAGAACCUCGGAUAGAUUGGUAUUAAAAAAUAAAACGCUCAAAAGCUCGGAAGAUUUUUCUCAAACAGAUAACAUAAGAAACGUACGACGACGAUUCCGAAAACGAAGAGGAUUUACAAAUUUCCAUCUUUCCUAUUACACUUUCCCGUAUUGUCGUUUACCCAGAAGUUUAUUGGACACUUACAGAACCUAAUAUAGUAGUUCUCUAAGAAGUCUACCAAAUUCCUUUUGUAGUCACGUUUUUCCUGUUAUUACACCUAGGUACAGAAACAGAAACAAACUUGGACUUUACAGACCUAGUUAUAUGUAAUAUAAUUAUAAAAAUACAGAUCUCUCUUAAGAAAAUUUACUUAUUAGAGGUUUACAGUCUAUAUUAUAAUAGAUUUCCAAGACAUUUAUCAGCGGUUUACAGAUACUCCUAUAACAGAACUUUUGUAUUUAAUGUCUCCUAAACCGAUUUAAGUCUUUAAAAUUUUAGAAGUAAAAGGAGACCUUAUCACAGAUUUUAUUUUUUGUAAACAACACAGACCAUUACCCAGUAUAGAGAAAGCAGGUACAGAAGACAAAGGUUACACAGAAGAAGAUCACCUAGCUUGGUAUACAGAUACAGUAGAACUCGCAGAUACUAUAAUAUUUUCAGACGUAUUCACAGAAGUCCUCAAACCUCUGUGUAUAAACAUUCUGGAACAAGAAGACUUUUAUUCAGUUUCCCCAAAUAGUCAUCCUCUUGACCCUCUAACUAAAAAUCUACAUGAUCUUCACAACCCACUAAACCCAAGACCACUUCAAUUCAUAGCACCUUAAACAGAUACUUUUCAGGUACCGACCUGUUGAAAGAAACUUUCUCAUAGGAAACUCACAAGAACGUUAACCUCACGUCUUUUUACAAAACAAUGAAGAACCUGUUACCCUCAACACAGAUACCAUCCUUGUUACGAAAGUCAAACAGAAACAUUUUGGUUAAAAAGAUUACAUACAUAAAACAAUACAUUAGGAUUAUUAUCAACCUAUUACCAUAACAAAACAAAUUAAUAUUGAACAAGUCUUUCCCGAACACCCUCUACCCUACUUUUCGGAUAUCUUCAAAACAGUCCUGAUAUUCUAACAUGAAAACUAUUCCAGAAUACAUUUUAAAGUCGAAGUUCCACAAGUCCUAAUCAGUAGGAUCUCUUUAAACAAAUUAAAGACGAUUGGAGACUUCUGACCUUACAUCUAGAACAAGUUAGAACUCAUUGAAAACAAGAUAAGAAACUCCAGAACGAAGAUUAACCAAUUCAGACACCAGAUAUAAUCUUUCAAAAACAAGAUAAUUUCACAAGACCAAAAAUUAUAUUAAAUCCAAAGAACUUUAAAACAGUUCCUCAAGACAGACACAGGCUUAACAGACUAGCUCAGACUCCUGGUCAACAACUUCUCAGGAAUUACCUAGAUAAAACUUAUAAAAAUAUUUUUGGUUUCCAUUUUCAUACUUUAAGAGGACACUCCACCAUUUGUUAUUUUCCCAUUCCAUCUAAAUCUAAAUUGUUUCAGAAUAGUAUUUCACAAUCUUUACGUUUAUUAUUUUCUCGAAAAACAGAAAAACAAAAAGAAAACUAAGCUCGGCACCAACAUUUAAAUUUCUCUUGUUCAUACCAAACCCCUUCUUAAAUAUUCAUUGAAUAAUUCAUUCAGAUAAACUAAAAAUCAUAAGAAAAGUUACUGAUGAUUUUAAACAACAUACGAUUUUUCCUGCUAAUUUUACGAAUUCUCUUUAUUCCUACCAUAAUCGUAAUUUUAGAAGAACCUCCAACUCCUCCAGCAUACCUCUCUUAGAGAUUUUCUACCCCCAUUACAUAUUCAAGAGACAGAUCUCACAAAUAUUAUGUUUUCUAAUCAAGAUCUUUAGAUACUCAGAGAUACAUUUUUCAAAAAUUUUGUGCUUUUACAUGAUUUCACGGUUACCCUACUAAUCGUAUUUGUCCUAACAACUAUCAUAAUUUCCACUUCCGCAGUUACAGUUUCCGCAGAAGUUGACUUUAAAGAUUUUUAGAAGAAGAAGGUUAUACUUGCUAUAACAUAGCGGUCAAUUUAACAGAGCCCGAACAUCAUAAAAGUGAUAUCAGACUUGACAGCAGCAGUGAUAACAAUAACAGAAGACUAACAGAAUUUAAAAGCAACAACAAUAGCAAUAAUAGCCGAAGCAUAAGAAGCAUCAGACCAUUAUAAAGCAGAAACAGAACUAAUCGGUCACACAAAUUAAUACCAAAUUUCUAAACUUUAUGUUCUUUUCCCAGAUAAAGGGUUUCGACUAUAUAACAAACCUAUUUCCAUUAUUAUUCUACCUCACCCUGAGGAUUCCAAUGACUCAGAUAUUAUUUCCAGACAUAUAUUAUCCCUUACAUUUCUUUCAGAUUUUAACCAAGUUAUUCUAUUAUGUUCGUUUGAUUUUCCUUAGAUUUUUAUCUAAGCAAAUCAUUUUUAUUACGACAGAAAUAGGUCAAAACUCUCAGAAUCUUAUUUAAAUAAUAAAAGAAGGCUAUAUAGCUUUUCCGGUUCACUAUUCUAUACCCAGUUUUCAAAGGGUUAUAUAAUAAUUAUACAGAUUUUAUAACAUAUACUACAAUAGNUCUCUAUAUUUCCCACUUGCGUAUCCGCAUAAUUUUUCUUCUUUUGUGUCACUAUAUUUAUUAGAUCUUGCUUUUAAGACUGCGCCCCAUCCUAAAUCACAACCGUCUGUUUCUAUGAUAAUAUAAUCAGAAUCUAACGGAAGAUCUAGGUCUGGUAAUUCAGAUACGAGGGCUUUUAUUUGUUUGACCAAUUUUAUGUCUUCAGCAUUAAAGUGUCUUUGUCCUGAUUUUCCAGUCUUAGCAUAUAAAGGUCCUGCGAUUUUUCCUAGGUCUUUGAUAAAUGUUCUGGCAUAAUUUACUAGUCCUAAAAAGGAUUGUAAUUCUUUAAGAGUUUCAAGUUUGUCUGGCAUGUCUAGGAUUUUCUUGGCUAUAUGGGGUUGUAAUUUUAUCUUUCCUUCACCAAUAGUUACUCCCAAGAAAUUGAUGUAUUUUUUACAGAGUUCAACUUUAUUUUUACUUAUAAUAAUUCCAUGUUUAAUAAAUUCAUGAAAGACUACCUGUAGGUGUCCUAGAUGUUCUUGUAUGUUUUUACUGAAAACUAAAAUGUCAUCGACAUAAACUAAGACAAAAUCUCUGUGUUCAUUAAAGAUUGUAUCCAUUUUUCUUUGAAAAAUAGAAGGUGCAUUUUUAAGGCCAAAAGGCAUGACUAGCCAUUCAAAAUGUCCUUCUGGGCAGGUAAAGGCUGUCCAUUCUAUACUCUCUUUGUCCAUUUUUACUUGCCAAAAACCUGACUUACAGUCAAAUUUACUGAAAAUCUUUUUAUCUUGUAUACUGUUUAUUAAUUGAGAUUUGUCUGGAAUAGUAUAGCCAUCGAAUUUUGUAUUGUCAUUAAGUCUUUUGUAGUUAAUGACCAUCCUGCUUUUUCCUCGUACUAUCUCAGAAUGUUUCAUAACUAUAAAAGCUGUUGAUCUAUGUUUAGAUAUCGAUUUUCGUAUAACACCUAAUUUAAUUAGUUCAUUUAUGUGUAGUUUAAAUUGUUCUCUUUCUUCGUUAGUGAAGUCUAUAGAGGCAGUUCUAAGUUCUAACUAUAUAUUCUGGAUUAAUUAUAUCCAGUUUACAAUAUAUUUUAUCGUUUUCCCAAUAUUUAAUUGGGUUGUCUCCCAUAAUUUCUAAUUUGUCAAGUUUAUGUAAUAUUUCGUCUAUGUCUUGCUGGUUUCUAAUAAAACCUAUAUUUAAGAGGGUUUUUUCCCAAUUUACAAAGUCAUAAUCCAUACAAAUUGAAUCGUUGUCUAAUAAUUUUUCUAGAUUAUAAGAAAAAUCAUUAUGCCAAGCGUCAAAUUCUAAUAAGUCUGUUUCGUCUGUUAUCUUAUCUAGGGAACAAGGUUCUCCCUUGGAGCAAUUGUCACAGCAAUCUAUUCUAUCUUUUAAGGGUUUCUUUGCUUUCUUUUGUACUGGAGUCAUUGUGACAUGUUGUAGAAUUUAACAUAAUCUCUAUUGAUGCUUAUUCCUCCUAAAAAAUGGAGCAUAAAAUUUAAGCCUAAUACAAAGUCUGCAUUUAUUUUCAUUUUUCGUAACCAAACCUUGGGAAUGGUAUAGGUUUCAUUGAAUGUAUUACAUGUAUCUAAGAAGCUAAUUUUUGCAUUAGAGACAUACUGUGUAUAUUUGUGGGCAGUACCAUCCAUUUGGAUACCACUUGUUGGUUCUUUUGCUGUCUUUCGAUAAUUUAAAGGGACUAGAUCUGUAUGUAUGAGACAUGUCGUACAGCCAGUGUCAAUUACUGCUUCUGUUUCAAAAUCUUUGUUUCCUAUUUGUAUUUUACAUGGAACAAUUAAGCUUCGUAGUUUUAAUCCUUCAUUACAGAUAUAACUAUCUUCAUAUACCCGCAAAUUUUCUUCUUCAUAAUAUUCAGAUAGUUCUGUCAUAUUUUCACAGAUCUCAAUUCCUUUUCCUUUGUUUGUAAUGUCCUUGUUUUUUCGCGGAUUAUCUUGUUUUUCUAGAAGGCUGACUCUAGCUUCUAAUGCUAUAAUUCUUUUUUCAUGGGCAUUUAAGUGUUCAAUUUCAAAAGUCCUUUUAGGUUCUAAAUUUGUAAUUUGUCUAUUAAACUUUUUGUUUAAGCAAAUUGAACAUGCUUCAAUUUUACAUAAGCGACAUUUACAUCUAAGUUUUCUUUCUGGAAAGAAAUUACAGUAUGUGCAAGGUCUAUGGUCAUAUCCUUGUCUUUCUUGCCAAUCAUGGCUGCAUUCUUCAUUUAGAUUCAUAAGGGUCAUAAAAUGAAUAGUAGGGUCAUGAAAUGAGGUUUGAGAUAUUUCAAAGAGAUGUCGUAUGUCUUUUAUAAUGUCUUCUUGUUCUGAAAGAUCAUCGAACAGAAUCCUAAUAUCUCGAAUAAUUUUAUUUUGGUCCUUAGUAUCUAAUAACCUCUGUUUGCGUUCAUAUUCGAUUAUUUCUCGGAUUCUUGAUCCACUCUGGUUUUGUAUUUCCAUAGCUAUUUUCCAUAUUCGUUUGUCUAUCCUUUCUUGUGCUCUUUGUCUUAAUAAUUGAAUUUUAUAGUCUCGGGCGGCUAAUUCCCAAUUAGGGUUUUGUUCUUGUUCUAGAGUUUGUACUCCCUCAUAAAGAACAGUGGUACUGUCAUAAAACGAAGUCCAUGUUUGUUCUUCUAGUGGGGAAGUCAUGGAUGUAUUUUCGUUAGGGUCUUCAAAAAUCAUUGCAGAUUCAAAAAAAUACGUAUGUUCUUUUUGCUUUGUUUUAGUACCUUCAGCCAUAUUUGAGAUAAAAGUAUUGUAGUUAUUAUUGUCUUCAUCAGAGGAAGAUUCUCUGUCACUUUCUUUCUCGUAGACUAUAUUAUUUUCAAUGGAGUAAAUAGUUUCAGUGUCUGAUACAAGUUCAUCUACUGCUAACAAGGUUUCACCAGUAUCUUCUAUAAGUAAAGCAUUUCGGUUCUUUAUGUUUUGUCUUCUUGGACAUGCAUUUGCAAAAUGGCCUGGACUAUUACAUGUAUAACAAAGAAGUUUGCUUUUAUAAGUUCUGUCGGAUUUAUAUUUUCUAACAUGGUUGUCUUUAUUUAAAUAGGGCUUUUUGGCUUUUGAUCGCCGUAAGAAAUAUUUCAUUCUUGUCUUAUAUCCUUUGUAUUGAGGGAUGUAAUGUUUAGAUGUUUUUCUUUGGUUUUUAUAAAAUGGAUUUCUAUACUGCUGGGGAGUAUACACCACACUUUUACAGAAAGAGUAUUCAUUGUCUUUUAGUUGUUUUGUGAUUUGAAUAUUGGCACAUUUUUCUUGUAGUAUAUUCAUUAUGAAUUUUACUCUUUGUCCUAUGGACCAUUUAGUGUCCGGGUUUUGCCUUAUAGUUUCUUUUUCCAUUGUAUCCCAUCUAUCUUGGAUUUCUCUGCCUAAGGCUCCUGGAAGUUUGAAGAAUAAUUUUCGUCCUAUGUCUUGGCUAAAAGCAUUCCCACUUAUACUUGCAUAAUAUAAGUAUGCCUGUAGAAAGUCUUUGAUAGGAAACCAGGUUGAAAUACUAAGUUGUUCUAGGCUAAUAAGAGCCUGAUUUUGGAGGAGUAUUGGCCAGAGUUAGGGUCUUGGCCUGUAAUAAGAGAAUGAACUUUGUUUGUAAAAUUACAAGGAUUACAUCCUAAUGUUAAAAGAUGUCUGAAUUCAUCUUCAUAUUGAACCUUAUAUUGUUCCCGCAUUCCUUUAGUAGAUUCUCCUAGAAAGGUUUCUAAAUAUUUGUACAUUUCUUCGGCAUUAUCUGUAUUCAUGUAGUGUUGAUUACGAAUAUAAUCUGCUACAACUAAUCCUUUCCAAAUGUCUAUUAUAGAAUCCCAAGUUUGGGGGUCAUGGGCUGCUAUGUUUAAUAUUUUUCCAGAUCCUGCUUCUUGUAAAUUAACAGGAUUUUUAAAAGGAUAUGUUUUGCCGUAAGAUCUGACAUUACGACCAUAAGGGUAGAUUUGUUCUUCUGGGGCUGAGGAGACGCUAUGUCUAGGAAAGUUACCAGUGUUAUAAGUUUCUGCUGGCAUCCGGAUUGUAUCAUAGUAUGGUAUAUGAGAAUAUCCAGGAUUGGUUGUUUGAGGCCUAGGAGGUCUCUGUGGAGCUGGAGGAGUGGAUAGUGGAUGUUCAACAUGAUAUGGUGGAGGAGUGUGUGUUACAGGAGGAUUAUGAACAGUAGAUCCUUCUCCUUCUUCUGCUAAGUUUAUUUCUCUUAUCUCGUCUCUUAGGUUAUAGAUGAGAUUAUUAUUGGACAGAGUAUAUCCUAACUUUUUAUCUUUUUCAGAUCGUAAUUGUCUUUUUAGUCUGAUUUGUUCUAUCAGACGGGUUUCUUCUUCAUCGCUAAAUUCUUCAUCUUCAGAUUCAGAUUCAGAAGAAUAGUCAAUAUAAUUGUAUUCCAUAAAAUUAUAUUCGAUAUUGGGUUGUUUUUCUAGAUUAUAAGGUACAUUCAAGUUUGGUGGUUGGUCUUGAGGUAAUAGAGUAAAAUCUCUUCUUUGAGUGCUUGAUUCACCUAGUUGGGUCGAUGUACUACUCCUUUUUCGUAUUAACGGCGUAGUCCUAUCUUUUUCAUUUUCUGUUUCUUCAACUGUCUCGAAGUCUGUGAAUCUGAGUGAGUUCCUUCCUUGUUCAUUUUGAUAGUAAAUAGUAUCUGCAGGAGCUAUUGUUGUUUGCCGAAUUUUAGUAAAUUUAUCCAAAUUCCAUUCUAGGCCGGCAUAUUUCUUAGCAUCUAUUUCCAUUGGUGCUAUUAAUUUCAUGCCUUGUGUUCCCAUUAAAUCUACUACACCUAAGGGGUUCAUUAAAAAAUGUGAUUCGGCAGUAGGUGUUAACAGACCUGUAAAUCCGAUGCAAACUUGUAAGUUUCUAAAGUUUUGUCCUUCAUAUAAGUCUAUUCCUCUAACUUGUAUACCAAUCUUAAUCUGAUUUGCAAAGUCUAAUGAAGGCAUUAGAAAGUCUGGAACGACAUAAAAUAUUCCACCGUUGAAAUUCAUAUCUAUUUCUGUACAUCCUAAGGAUGCAUCAAUUAUAUUCUUGUGUCUAUUGUCAUAAGGCAUUAAGAGUACUUUAGAUCCUAGUUUUUUACAUACUAGUCCUUUUAUGCCUAUUACAAUUAAUCCUAAAUGCAUAAGUGCUAUAUCUGCCUUUCUAAUACUCUUUUGUACUUCGUCAUCAGCAAGGGGUAUAGAAAUAUGUUGACCGUCAUAACAUUCAACUGAUACUUCACUCUUAAAAGAUAUAAAUUUAGUUUUAUCAACAUACCGUUGACGUUUAUCAUAUAAAAUGUCUGGAUUUAUGAGACGUAAUCCGUGGGUACGGAAGAUUGCGAUGUCAUCAUCAACAUCUACAACUGUGUCUAGUUGAGGUGUCUAUGAUCUGGGGACUAACGGAAGAGGUGUUGGUCUACAAAAAAUUUUUUCAACUAUGUUCCUUGCUCUAGACUUAGGAGCUCUUAAAGAAAUUGUAGAUUCUCUAUCUUCAGAUCUAGAGGAAUUAGAUCUAGAAAGUCUGUGUGUUUGAGAAGAAGAUGUAGAAAAUUCCAUAUUUAUCAAUAAUAUGGUGGUAUUGAGGAUAAAUCUAAGAAGAUUUACUAUUAUCAAUAAUGUGCUUGCAUUCACUAUUAUCAAUUAUGUGGUUGUAUUUAAGGAAGUCUUGUCUUCGUUUCUUUUCUCUAUCUUGUUUAAAAGAAAACGAGGCUGUUGAAUUGAUUGAAAGAAUAAAAUAGCUAAGUGAUAAAGCUAAAUAUGUUAAUAUUAAAAGGUCUUAGCUAGUCUUAACCAAGAAAGUCUUAGCUCUGAUACCAAACUUGGUGAAUCAAGCACUCAAAGAAGAGCCAUUCUCCACAUAAUUGAAAAUAGGAUGAAGUAAAGCAUUUCGGUUAUAAACAAAUUAAAAAUAGGAUGAAGUAAAGCAUUUCGGUUAUAAACAAAUUUUAUUCUAAAAAAAUUAAACAAUACCCUUAUGGUCGUAAUGUCACGUGAAAAUUUCAGUUUCAAAAAAUACCCAAACUUAAAUUAAAGUGUGUUUGCAGUUAUUUUCCUGUGCUCCUAAGUUUUAUCCAUGCACCAGGUCUACCAAAUUGUCUCGCCAAUGAUGACCAUCCAAAACCACUACGCCUGAGGUUUUUUUUUCAAAACCAGUGGGCCCACGUCAUCAUGCCGCGUCAUCAUUCCAUCCAUUACCUAAACCUGCGUAGCCGCGGUUUUUUUGAAAACCAGGUGCCGCCGCAGUUUUCUCCUCCAAAACCUCCCUUCCUUCGGCUAUAAAAGGAGACCCUCCUCCUUCCCUCAAAGCAUGGUGAAAAAAUCAUCCAAAGGAAAGAGCCAUUCUCCACAUUCCCUCUGCCGCUUCCCUAUGCAAAAGUCCGCUGAAGCUUAAAGGAAGAUCAUUUCGACGACAAGUGAAGAAUGAAGCAAGCCUCUUGUUAGAUAUAGCAUCCUAGCUCCACAAAUAAUUCCCUAAUGGCCUUUAUUUUCCUGUCUUUCCUGUAAAAAUUUAUCUUUUUCUCAACUGCAUUCUGGCGUGAAGAGUCUGUACAAACAAGUCCUUUCUUUUCCCCCGGGAAGUCCCGGAAGGGAAACCUUCUAGCGUUGUGAUGUAAGUUUUAUCCUUUGUUUAAUAUUAUAUUUCUCGAACUCUUCUAUCCAUGGCAUUUUCUUUGCCCCAUGAUUCCCUUUCCUUGGACUCUUAAUGAAAAUUUAUGGGUUCUCUCUGGAUAAUUAUUUCAGCUUAAGCAAGUGUAAAGCAUAUAUGCUUGGCAGAUUUGAUAAGAGAAAAAAAUGCUCUGUAAAUUUCGCCAUUGAUAGCCAGAAGUGCUUUGCGGCGUUAGAGCGAGGUUCUCUGAAAACCGUACGCCAAGAGGGUCUUGUGCACCAACACUGUGUCUUAAGUGGUGUUAUCCACAUUAGAAAAUUAAAUUUCAUCAUAAGUCCGAGUUUUAGGAAAAUUGCAUCAUCGAAAAUUUAAUGAGAUAAAGAGUUUUAGAAAUAUAAAAAAAACAUCUGAGAAAAUUUUUAUCGUGAUUUCUAGAAGGGAGUACCAGACGGGACCUAAUUUAAAAAAGAAUUGGAAACUUAGUUUAUUUUCUAAAACGGAGAUUUUAAAUUUGCACUUCAUCCUAUUUUUAUUCAUACUACAAAUAUCUUUCAAGACAUAUAUUUACUUCUGUCCGUUCCUUUUUUACUGCGAACUGUCUAUCAAACAAUCUCAUCUAAACAUCCACCUAUCCAUCCCAAUUAAAUUAAUAUUUAAUAACGACCAACAUCGUUUCCGCCUUCAAACACACUUUAAUUUAAGUUUUUAAAAGCUUUCUCUUAAAGAAAAGUUUAAAAAGAUAAAAAAAAAAAAGAGAAAAGACAACGUGCAUGUCACUUUGCGUAAUUAGCACUAAUUACGCCACUUAAAUUUUAGACCGGAAAAAUUUAUAAAAAAUCUUAAAAAAUCAGAAAUAUUCCCACGAGUCUUUUGCUACCCUUGUCCAGAGUAGCCGACAUAUAGUUUCCCCUUUGCAUUUUUCUGUUUGCAUAGUAAACUUAAAAAGUUAAAAAAAAAAAAAAAAAAUUUUCACGUGAAGCCACUGUAUGCAUAGUUAUCGUGCAUAGUAACUUCACUAAUUUUCGACAGCAACAUUUCCAGACAGAAAAAAUACCAAAAAAUUCAGAAAAAUCUUACGAGUAUUUUGCCACCCUUCUUCAGAAUAGCCGACAUACGGUCUCUCCUGUAAAAAUCUUUCUUUCCUUCCGCCACUAUUUGCAAUUCUCAAAAAAUACCCAAAAAAUUGUUAAAAGUUCAACUUUCUCUUUCUUAUUCUUAUCCUUUUUAACCGGUAUUUUCUAAUACUUAAUUUUCAAUAUAUUACAUAAUCUGACCCAACUCUACUAUUUACCGCAUUUCCCUAAAAUCUUAAAAAAUCCCAAAAAUAUUAUAAAAAUCCCCUUUAGGUUUUUGCUUCUUUCAAAGGUUUGUUUUUCCUCAUACCUUAGGGUUUUCAUAAAUAGACCAUUUCCGCACCUUCUCCUAAACCCUAAACCCUAAACCCUAAAACCUAAACCCUCAACCCUAAACCUUAAGCUUGGAACUAGCCAAGCCUAAACUCUCUAGUCCCCUCUCCCCUGUUCCCCUCUCCCCUUCUUGGGGAGAGGAAAAUUGCAUCUGGCAAAAUUUUCCCCUCUCCCCUGUUCCCAACUCCAGUACAAAGAGUUUUAGUAACAUCUGGCAAAAUUAUGACUGAUUUCUUGCGAAAUGUACCACCGCAAAACGCACACUUAGGUGACGUUCGCAGCACAUUAAGGGCUGUCGGUCCAGCGGUGAUAUUCCCAUGACUCUACUUCAACAUUUAUUUUUCAUUCCCGAUUCCCCAACACGAGCGUAAUACAUUCAGGAAUCAUGAUCAACAACAGAUAGAACCUUACAUCUUGACGAAGCCGGCAUCUCUCAUCUCCACCUAUAAAUUCUCCAAAAGUUGAAAUAAUAGUUUGUAAAUCUUGAUACUUGUGGCAUUGGAGUGGUAA
rnacentral:lncRNA from 1 species